AUUGAACGCUGGCGGCAGGCUUAACACAUGCAAGUCGAGCGGAGAGAGGUAGCUUGCUACUGAUCUUAGCGGCGGACGGGUGAGUAAUGCUUAGGAAUCUGCCUAUUAGAGGGGGACAACAUUUCGAAAGGAAUGCUAAUACCGCAUACGUCCUACGGGAGAAAGCAGGGGAUCUUCGGACCUUGCGCUAAUAGAUGAGCCUAAGUCGGAUUAGCUAGUUGGUGGGGUAAAGGCCUACCAAGGCGACGAUCUGUAGCGGGUCUGAGAGGAUGAUCCGCCACACUGGGACUGAGACACGGCCCAGACUCCUACGGGAGGCAGCAGUGGGGAAUAUUGGACAAUGGGCGCAAGCCUGAUCCAGCCAUGCCGCGUGUGUGAAGAAGGCCUUAUGGUUGUAAAGCACUUUAAGCGAGGAGGAGGCUACUUUAGUUAAUACCUAGAGAUAGUGGACGUUACUCGCAGAAUAAGCACCGGCUAACUCUGUGCCAGCAGCCGCCGUAA
rnacentral:rRNA from 1 species